ensembl:lncRNA
AUGAGUGCUAAUAACACUUUUGAUGGCCUGGAUGAGCCAGUGAGACCUACACCUGGUGGCAGAAAACGCCAAUUGGACAAAGAAAAUCACAAAAAACAACAAAAAAAGAAGCUUCGCCAUUCAGGUGGCGCGUUAAUACCCACUGUGGGAUGUCACCACAAGGCUGAUGCGACCAGUUUCUGUCAGGCAGAGAAGCUGUCACCGGACGACCUGAUGAUCAAUUUCAAUACGUUUUAUGAAAGACCAAACAAGGUUGACCAGGACAGGAUCAUUCUUAAUCUCCUGGACAUAACGCGUGUGAAAAGGCAGCGUCUGAAAGUCCUGGACGUUAAUAAACAAAAAGACCGGAACAUAUCUGUCAAGUACAAUCUUUUGUGCGGCAAUCACCCAGAGAAGGUGCCCGUUUGCAAGGCCACCUUCAUUAAAGUGUUCGGCAUCAGCAAAGACCGUGUGUCCCGGGUGGCUAAAUAUUAUGCUGAGACUGCUGAAGCUCGCCCAGAGAGAAGAGGUGGUGCACGGCACAGUGAGGAGCACAACAGGAGAAGGCAACUCAUUGUUGACCACAUCCAGUCUUUUACCUGCAGGGCCAGCCAUUAUGGUCGGAGAGGAGCACCAGGCCGCAAGUAUGUCCGCAGUGACUUGAAUGUGCACAAGAUGCAUGAGCUCUUUGAGGCUCAGAACCAUGCACAGACCAGCUACUCCCUCUAUUACUCUGUGUUCUCCAAGGAUUUCAAUCUUGGCUUCGGUCACCCAGCUACAGAUGCAUGCUCUGAUUGUGUCAAGUACAAGAUCAGGAUUACAGAUCCAAACCUAACUGAGACAGAGAAGAAGAUGGAAUCUGCAUCAUUCAUCUUGCAUCGUCGCAGAGCUCGCAUGUUUUAUGACUUGUUAGGCAGGGUUGCUGAAGGUCAUGUGACCCUCAGUUUUGAUAUGAUGCAAAACAUGGUCCUUCCAAAAACCCCAGUAGGACAGGCCUAUUACUCACGGCAGAUGUAUCUGUACCUGUUUGGUGUUGUUGUACACCAUGGUGAGAACAGUCAACAGGAAAAAGAUGAUGUCCAUCUCUAUGUGUGGCAGGAGAAUGAGAAUAGCAAAGACAGCAAUAUGAUUGCUUCUGCGCUGAGUGACUGCCUCAAGGUUCAACUUCAGGACAAAGUCAGCAGAUCCAGGGGACUUCGGCUGUUCAGCGACUCUUGUUUUGGGCAAAACAAAAACAUGAGCAUGGUGUCAAUGCUCAUGGAACUUCGUCAGCUUUUUCCCAACCUUGGCAUAGAGCAUACCUUUCCAGUAAGGGGCCACAGUUUUCUUCCAGCAGACCGAGUCUUUGGCAGAAUUGAGCAGAAGAUCAGGAAAAUUGACACAAUUCUGCUACCACAGGAAUACCAUACCAUCCUCCAGCAAUUCGGCCAUGUUCACGUUUAUGGCACAGACUGGGAGGCAUUUGAUUAUAGGUCAGCCUCAAAAGAGUGCGUUAAGGCUCAGAAGAGCUUUAAAAUCAGUGAAGCACGCAUGCUUGACUUGAGUACCAACAAGGUUGGUUUAAAGACUGCUUACAAUGGGGAGUAUUGUUUUCAUAGUGUAUUAAAGCGGGGCAAGCGGUGGGCUGACCUAAAACUUGAGUUACUUCCAAAGCGAACCUCUGUGAAGGCAGCAAAGAAGCGCGAUGUGCUGGCACUAUUAGGAGCAGUAGGUGUGUCUGAUGUAGUGAGGGCUUUUUAUGAUGAUGCACUGUAUCAUGUGACUGACAAUGCAGGCCAUAGUGAUGAAGAUGCAGAGUGAUCUAUACUCACUCACUCACUCUCUCUCAUACUUACACACACACACUCUCUCUGUCCUCUCACACAUUCAAAGCACAUUUCAAAUUUAAAAAAAAAUAUGGAUUUGUUGUGUUUUGAAAAAAAAAAAAAAAACUUUGAAUUUAAA